rnacentral:rRNA from 1 species
UACGUAGGGUGCGAGCGUUGUCCGGAAUUAUUGGGCGUAAAGGGCUCGUAGGCGGUUUGUCGCGUCGGGGAGUGAAAACUCAGGGCUUAACCCUGAGCCUGCUUCCGAUACGGGCAGACUAGAGGUAUGCAGGGGAGAACGGAAUUCCUGGUGUAGCGGUGAAAUGCGCAGAUAUCAGGAGGAACACCGGUGGCGAAGGCGGUUCUCUGGGCAUUACCUGACGUGAGGAGCGAAAGUGUGGGGAGCGAACAGG